AUAGAGACUCAGAGCUGCAUAUCAAUAAGCGGAGGAAAAGAAACUAACUAGGAUUCCCUCAGUAACGGCGAGUGAAGCGGGAAGAGCUCAAAUUUGAAAUCUUCAAGGUUCUACCUUGACGAAUUGUAGUCUAAAGAAGUGUUUUCUGUUAGAUGAGUAGCAAAAGUUCCUUGGAAUGGGACAUCAUAGAGGGUGAGAAUCCCGUAUUUGGCCAUUAUCUCCAGCUUUGUGAUACGCUUUCAAAGAGUCGGAUUGUUUGGGAAUGCAGUCCAAAAUGGGUGGUAAAUUUCAUCUAAAGCUAAAUACUGGCGAGAGACCGAUAGCGAACGAGUACCGUGAGGGAAAGAUGAAAAGAACUUUGAAAAGAGAGUUAAACAGUACGUGAAAUUGUCAAAAGGGAAGCGUUUGACACCAGUGUUGUUUUUCCGAAAAUCAAUUACGAAUGUUUUGUUUUUGAGGAGUUAUGACUUCAUCGGCUUGCUCCUUUCUUUACGAAACUUUCUUAAUGCACUUUUCGGUUAACAAGUCAACAUCAAUUUCUUUUGUUGUAAAAGAGUAUUCGGAAGGUGGCUUUCUUUUCGGAGAAAGUGUUUAUAGCCCUAUACUUCUACAAUCGAAGAGAUUGAGGUCUGCAGCGUAGAUCCUUCGGGGUUAGAUACACUUGUGCUAAGUUAUAGCCUUUCAUAGACAACUUGUUGACUAUGAUUUAGUCAUUGUAGCUUACUCGCUGACUGCUAUUUUACCUACGCUUAGGAUGUUGACGAUCAGCUGAGCGCG
rnacentral:rRNA from 1 species